ACUAGUAAAAACGUAAGAAGUCACAGAUGGCCGUCUCAAAUCAACAACCGGUACAGUGAACGAGUCAAGUGACGCGGUUAUGUACGCAAAACAAUCGCGUCAGACGCGGAAAACGUCGUGAAACAUGUAAGGAGUUUCUAUCAUAAGUGCCAUCGCGUUGAAUUUUACGUUUCUUUUUGUUUUGCAAUACCAUCGAUCAGCAGUGAAAGCAAAACUUGGCUCGGUCCACCGUUGCUUUCACGAAUUGGUUUUAUCGUCAGUGACGUACGGUUCUCGAACACCGAGGCCAAACACAAUUUGCUGUUCGAGGAUGAGCGCGAAUAAUGUGCAAGCACUUUUCGCCUGUUCAAGAUGUUUCUCAAGGCAUCCUUUCGAGGAGCUUUCGCCGGGGCAACAAUUGUGCAAGGAAUGCAGAGGUGCAUUUCCUGUGGUGAAAUGUACAUAUUGUAGGUCAGAGUUUCAACAAACAAUAAAGGGUAACACAAGCACUAUUUGUAAGAAAUGUGAGCAGAAUGUGAAAUCUUAUGGUAAGCCAUCGGCCUGUGAAUAUUGCAAUACCAUAGCUGCAUUUAUUGGUAGUAAGUGUCAAAGAUGUACAAAUUCUGAAAAACGUUAUGGGCCACCAGUUACUUGUGAACAAUGCAAACAGAAGUGUGCCUUUGACAGACAGGAUGAAGAUAAAAAAGUUGAUGGAAAGUUAUUAUGUUGGCUGUGUACACUGUCAUAUAAACGAGCAUUGGCAAAAACAAAACAGUCGGAUGCUGAGAGGAGGGCACAUUUGAAACUUGCACAACAACGAGCAGCAAAGCACAAAGAACAAAAAUUAAAAAGUCACAAUAAAAGACCACACAGAGUCGAUGUAACGAAACUACCGCCUCAGUCGGAAGGUGCAGACACAAACGGUCCGACACCGGUGAAAGCAGCUCGGAUGGGUGGCGUUCACGAUCCGCAUGACCCCAACAGUUCGGAUCACGUAGUUGCGGUUACACAACUUAAAGAAAAGAUAGCCCAUCUCCAGAAACAAAUCUCUAUUAAAGACGGGCAAUUACUUGCUAAGGAUAGACAAAUUACAGAAUUGAAGGCAAAAAACUUCACGUCGGAGACGGAACUGCGUAACAAGAUGAAAGCGACGGAGAAAGAAUACGAAGCCAAAAUAUCGACGAUGCAACUCAAGAUCUCCAGUUUGUUAAAAGAAGUUGCUUCUCUAUCGAAGAGUUCUAAGCGGGGCGACAGAGUUGCUGCCACGAAAACAGAAGCUGGGACCAACAGUGGAAGUGGAACAGACAGUCCUGUACCUUGAUAAGACGCUGUGCAGAGCGGCAGGAGCGAACCGGCCGGAGCAGAGUCGGUCCGAGCGGAGCGCGAUUAAAAGUGAAGCCUCUUGACCACGUGGCCGGAGGUCAAAGUGGCGUAGGCAGACGUUACUCUCUUCGUCUGGUUGGCGGGUUGGUGGCCGCCGCGCGGUGGAAACGAGCCGCGAGGCUGACAGUGGCGGCGGCGGUGGCGGCGGCGACGACGGCGGCGGUGGUAGCGAGGCCUCGUCGAGCGGUAUGGAAACUGGGAGCUAUAGACAAUUCUGAAAACGGAUCCGAAGGAGAAAGGGGGUGACUAGCUGCGUCGACCCAAUAAGACCGAGGGGAUUUUCAGGGACACCGGUUACAGAAACAUCACGACAGCUCAUGGAAGUCAGAAGAGGAAAGGGGAAAGAUGAUGGAAAGAGUAGGGAGGAAGAAACACGGUCGAGAGAGGGUCUCUAUGUGUUCGGGACGCGGUCGAAGACACGAGACACACGGCGACCGCUCGUUACAUAAGUAAGGUAAAGGAUCUCCUCUUCUGCUCUCCUUGAGCCGAUCCACAUCCGCGAUUAUGCCACUUUCCAUCGACCUCGCUUCACCUCAGCUCGCCAUACACCGACAGCACGUGUGUACAGUGUAUGUGCAACGGAAGCUCGUGAUUUUCUUUAUGGACUGAAUUCGGAACUUCGUGAAAUCGAUCGUCAGGGAUCUCGGAUUUCAGGGAAAGGAUAUGCUUGUCUUAAAAAAUCGAAAGGCAUCGAGCGAUAACUUUUUACGAUUAGUUAAACAAAGUACUCGAAGAUACUUUAGAUCGAUCUUUUAAACGGAUGCUUUGGAAAAUGAAACUAGUUGAGUUUGAAGUCGGAAAUUCGAAAAUAGAAGAUUAGAUGUGACACUGUAUUUUAUCUCCGAAAUAAAAGGAACUGUGUCACUUUUUCUCUGACACACCCGGAGAAAAGGAAGCUGAAAAUUAUGCCGACCUAUUCUGUAGCCCUUGCUACACGUUGUCCGGGAAAAUGCUGCGGUGCGAAAAGGAUUUAUUAAAUUUCCCGUUUUUUCUUUUGUCUCGGGUCAGAGAUGGUUUUAAUUAGAUACCGAAAUUUGUACUUUGGUCUAUCUACUUCCUUCUCUUUAAAGCAAAGAUGCUUCUCGAAAUUUUGCCCUGCCUUUUUCUCGUCGUUCCCAUUACUCUUUCACAAUUCUUUGCAAACGGGAUUCUAUUUGCUCUUGAUUCACCGUUAACGAAAAUUAACCGCCCGAAAACAUUCUUUGUUGGUAUCUGUGCGGAGAGGGAUCAAAGUAAAUGAAACUUCGCCGAGAAUAAAGUGCAUCGAACGAAUCGGCGGUAAUCGAACUGGCGUCAUUUUAGCACGCGGUUCCGUAUUAUGUAAAGCGAUUCGCAUCGGCGGAAGACGCGUCUUGCUUCGUGGACCAAUUUGUUACGUCCACGGUUUUUACGAAACACUCAUUCGCCGCGCUGGUCCGUUUUAUUCUUUCCCCUUCCAUCCUUUUUGCUCGCCAUCGCGAUGUAAAGUUAAUUGGCGUAGCGCCGCGCGGUUACUCGAUUUACAUGAGUUUUAAUUAAGCGACUGCGUUUGCUCGUCUCACAGCGAACGAAACCUACCGGGCCACGUGGAAUUUUUGAAGUAAUUGUUAUGUGUUUUGCACGCCUUGCCCUGCCGAGGUAUGAAAGAGGGGUUGGGCAGAUACAAAUCUUCAAGAUCGUAAAUUCGCUUUUUUAAUGUUACACCGCGAGGGCUAUCAUUCUCAUAAUGGCCUCUUUAAUUCACCAGCAUAUUUUCGACAAUUACUACGCUCUCUCGUUUGCUCUCCUCAUCUUUUGCCUGACGUAAAAAUCGUUUCCCGUGAUCGUCGAGGUUCCUUCGAAUAAAUGAACAUUAGAUCUUUUUAUAGUCGGAUUAUGGUUCCCCGUGUGAGAUCGGUGACAUUGAUAGGUCAACGAACUUCUCGAAUGACCUUGCCUUGGCAAGUAUAGCGGUACGGUGAAAAGAUUUAUAGGCAAGUAAGUUUUCUCCUACUGGACGAAUAAGACAGAAAUAUUGUGUUUGGUAUUAUCGUUUCUACACUUUAGACGAUAAAUAGAUACAGUUACAUACUUUUUUACGUCCCGCUUUUGUUAACUCUGUUCGUUGUUUUAGUACUUUGCUGUGACAUAUAUUAAUUGUUUCGAUCUUUUACAUUUAGCGGGGUUUGUUCGCACGCGACUAAACGGUAUGGCCAUCUGGCGGUGAGAAAGCUGAACUAAAAUGUUACUUAUAAUAUGCUGCUACGCGAGUACAUCUCGUCUGUAAUGGUAUAUAAGUUCGUGUCACAUGUCUCAGUCAUUAAAAAAUUAGAGAUUCUGUUAUGUUACAGAUACAGACAACGUACAUAAUAGAUGUAACAUGCAACACUUUUGCCUCACGUUUUGAGGAUUUCCUGAUUCUCUUAUCAUUUUCGUGUCACAUGCGAUGUUAUCGAUUCAAUAUACAUAUCUACAUAGUAGCGAUUUGAAUAAUAUAAUACAUAAUUUACUAGAAAGAAUUGGAUAACUUACAUAGAAAGUUUUCGAACUAGUGUGCAAGAUUUGUAAAUGAUCCCAACCAAUCAGGAGUCAGCCAGGCGAAGAUUUGGCGCUAGAUGACAUUACACAGCGAAAAAGUGAGAAAAGAUGAACAUCUGUACGAUUAUUAGAUUCUGCAUAGCAUUUCCCCUUUCGCUAGGAAGGACGUAGCGGUGCCUCAGCUUUAAGCAUUUUCUUUUGGCCUUCGCUUCUUCCGUCGAAUUCGGCGAUUCUGUUUGAUGACGCCUUGGUCAUGGCUUCCCUUGGGUCACAACGAUAUCGAUGGUAACGUUCUUCGCAUUUAAUUACGAGUCGCAUGCAUCUUUGUUUUUCUGGUCACUCAAUCGUGUCGUAGGUCCAAAUCAACACGGGUGACCGAUCGUAUUACGUAGAAUUUUUUUACUAGCAUGGUGACUGCAGUUGACGGCAGGUUUUCUUGCGCAUCACGUUUUUAAAUGUUGACAAUCAAUGCAUCAACAUGUAUGUCAGUAUAAUAUUUACAUACUGCAAUAUAAGCAACCUGUAUGAAUAGCAUAAUGUAAAUAAUUAAUAAUCUUCAGGUUUAACCCCUUCCAUGUUCAUUGCCAGCACUUCACUCACCGACUCAGCUACUGCCGGAUAGAAGAAAGACAAUGGGUACGAUGACUAGUUCAUAAGAUUAAUAAUUUCUCAGUAACUGAUGUUGCGUGUAUAUCCUGUAUGACGUAUUUUGUACUCUGCGUGUGUCUGUGUGUGUACGGCUAGGCCGUGGAAUUGCGUUGUUUCUCAGUCCUUAUUACAUUCACUAUAAUCUACUAAAAUAAUUAUGGAGUUCACAACUGGUGACGUAAUUAGAAUUCACAGCUAGAUCCACAAUUAAAUACCUACAAAGAAUUAUAAGCAACAAAAAAUAUGAUUAUUACUGUCAAAUUACAAUGAUAUCCUCCAUAUCAUUUAUACCAGUAGUGCUAACUUUUUAAAGAUGUCCGUACGUAUUAUUGUAAUUAAAAUUGAAAUUUAUACGUGUUUUUAUCAUGUUCAAUGCACACCGAUAACGCCUUCGUCAGACAAUUUCAGGAAGAUACUACGUAGAUUGAAGUGUGAAAAUUGUGAGAACCGUAGAACCAGCGUGUUGGUAUGUCUAUUUUGUCAUUUUUUAAAUAUACAGUUAAGUGAGAUAAAUAGGAUACUUUCCGGUAUGAGCGUUAAUUGUAGAUAGGGCCAGACACGUUGCUGCAAUGGUUAGAGUUAGGCGCAUUUUCAUGUGUUUCGGGAAAUUUGAUUUGGGAAAUCGACGGUGAAUCACGAUGACGGAGCAUGCCAUUUAUCUCUGACUUUGCCUGUCGAUUUUUCAAAUUUCGUAGAUUUUCAAACAAACGUUUAUGUAUUGUUGGAGCAUACACAUGCGAACGGACAGCUAUCACUGUGCGACGUUCAUGUGCAUUUGAAUUAGCUUCCUCGAUUUAUAUUUUUAUUUUACAUCAUACCUGUGACAGCAUGUUCCUGCUCCUGAGUCAUUUUAUCCAGUUUCGCCAGUAGCUUCCUAUAUAACUACGCUAGAAUGUUAGUAGUGUUGCAAAUAUAUAAAUCUGAAUGUAUAGGUUGAUAAUUAUUACUGUUGCGCAAAUAAUUGCUAUAUAAAAUCCUUAGAUCUCCGAUAGAUAGAACUUAUAAACAUUUACAUUUGCAAUAGGUUUAUGAUUGAUUUGUAAUAGGUAGGACUUAUACAAAGUUUUAAAUGUCUUACAGGAAUCUUUAUGUAACCAGUAAAGCAAGAUCCAAGUGGUAUUUAAAAAUACGUAAAAAGACAUCCAAGGCUUUAGAAGGCAUAUUCAUCCCACACACCUCUUCCCUUGCCCUUGUUAUAUUCGUAUAAAUUUACAGUUAGGUAGCCUGCAUUUGAAUUCGAUUUAUAGUUAGUAGUUAGAAGCAAAAAGGGAAUUUUGAAAGCAACUUUCACUGUUAUUUCCAUCUUAGAAUUUCUAUGUAAUGAAGUGGAUGGUAAAUGAAAGAGCUUUUGUAAAUAAUUACAUUUAUUUAUUUAUCAAUUUCACAGUAUAACAGUGUAUACGAUACGCUGAAUAUAGAAUAAUCUCUGCUCUUUAUCGUUUACUAAUUAAGGCGAUUAGUAUGUGAGUGAUCGGUAAGAACAUAUAUUAUAUAGCACGUGUACUUUUUAUUGGUCGUCACGAUAUUUUUUUUUCGCUUCUUAUUCUUUCGCUUUCCUUUUAUUUCGUUAUAGAGGUACGCUAUCGUUUGUUAGCCUAUUCUCUUGCACGUUUGUCCUUUCUCUUCUCGACGGUAACACAUCUCUACCAAGUACCGUAUCAACAACUAAUUAUUUUUCGUAAGACGUUAGUUUUUUUUUUAUUUUUAUGUACUCGUGCGGAUAAGGCCACAAUUAGUGAUUUUCCGCGUGUGCGUGUCGCACACUCGUCCGGCAUGCGUGUGUGGAUGCGCGUGAUUCUUUUUCCUUCUCUUCCUUUUAUUUAUUUUUUUUUUCGAUUUUUUAUCAUUUUCUCCACUUUGAUGUGGUUAAUGCAAAAAAUGCUCGCGAACGUAUAUCGCGGAUACGCGAGAUAACAAGAUCAUUUCGAUCCUUAUUGACUUUCUUGUUCGAGAAAAAGUACGACGAUCGAACAUGAAGGUCGAUUGCAUUUAAAAUUCGCGUUUUCACGCAUUCGCGAAUAUGUGCACUUGUGGGCCCGUGUGAGAGUUAAAAUCGUUCCGAGGCUAACAUAGGAAAAAUAAAAAUUUAGUUAAAACCGUUAGAGUAAUACAAAUGUAAAAUUUGUACAUUAAAAAUCUCAUACAUCGAAGAACCCUUGAAUUUGAAAAAUUUUGAAUUUUUCUAACAACUGUGCACCCGAGCCCCGUCGUUUUAAUUAGUCGUUCGUUAUACUCGAAUUUUGCACGAGUCUUACUGUACAAUAUCGCGGAGCGAUAGAUAGAGAUAGAGAGAGAGAGAGA